rnacentral:lncRNA from 1 species
GAAGUAAACCUGGAUAUCAGCAGUCAAGGUCGAGUGAGUGAGGUGGCCCACUUGUAUUAUGCCUGCAGGGGCUGAACCCCCUCAUGGACCAGCUGAUGGAGCCAGUUUAUCACCCUUGAGCUGCCCCUGUGAGGCUUCCAGAAGUAUUACAGGACUCUGUGGUGAAGCCUGUACCUUUUCUGUUUGAAGGUGCCAUCUGGGCAGCCUUUGGCAAUGGCUGAGGAGUUGUGGCGAGUCGGGGAGGGAGGGAGGAGCGAGGGUCCACUCGAGUUUCAGCAAUGCCACAUCACCUUGUCUCCCCUUAACCCAGGGAUACUCUGCGACGGCGGCCUCGGAGUGCAGCCCCAGCGUGUGAGCCGAGGACCGGGGUGUUCUCAGGAGCCGGUGAGUAGUGGAAUUGUUGGGUUUUGGCUGAUGUGCUGCUGAGUUCAGGCACUGAUGUUUGGUUUUCUUUAUUGCAGUAGACUGAGAGAACAGCCCUCUGAGGGCAGGAACUUCCCAGAUGAUGAGGCAGCUUUCUUUUGCACCUGAUGAGGAUUUGCAUCCCUGGAUAUCCGAGAGCUAAAUGCAGAUGGAUUGAAUCUGUGGCAGAGCGCCCCAUACCAGGCAGUAAUGCUGAAUAUCAGUGGUCAAGGUCGAUGGAGCGAGGUGGUCCACUGGGCAGGUGUCCCGGCCCUGGGAUGCUGGAGGCCAGGUGCUGCUGCUGCCCUGGGCAUGCCAAGGGACAGAGGCGAGCAGGUAUUGUCCGGGCCACCUCCGGAGUCGGAUGGAGAUUUGAGCUGCCCAAGUGGGCUGUGGGCCAUGUAUUGACAUCCAUGGUGCUGAAGCAUUCUUUUCUGUCGAGGAUGGAUUUCGUCUGCAGGUCUUCAGAGAGCUAAGUGUGGGGACUGUUGGUUGGGAGAAAGCAAAAACCUUUGGAAUCACAGGAGGCAAUUUGAAGUUAGCUGAGAGGAGAGGGCUGUAGUGGGCCAGGCCCCUUGGAGGUUAAGGGAGAGAGGGUUUCUCUUCAGCAUCACUCGAGCCUUUGCCGGGCCGGGCAGUUCCAACCCAUCUCCAUGUUCUUGUGAGCUUCGCAUCAUUGGAUGUUGAGUCUCGAUGUCAUUGUCCAUCUUUUCACCCGAGGAGCCUGCCUUCGGGUCUGGCAUGAUUGCCAUGGUCUAAAUUUUGCCUACUCUUCAGUGUAGCCAUGCUUUUGAGCACUUUUGAGCGUAGCACACGGGCAUCUUGCGUCUUGGCCAUUUGUUGGUUGGUCAUGUUUUGUGAUGUCACUUCAGCCUUUGGUGGCAGAAUCAUUCUCUAGGGAUCCCUUUGUAUCAGCUGGCAGUUGUUGCCUCCUUCUCUAGGCCUACUGCGCUUCUUGAGCAUCCUCUUACCAGCUUUAGCACUAACUUCUCAUAAGGAGUUUACCUUUCACUGU